UGGGGAAUAUUGGGCAAUGGGCGAAAGCCUGACCCAGCAACGCCGCGUGAAGGAAGAAGGUCUUCGGAUUGUAAACUUCUUUUAUCAGGGACGAAGUAAGUGACGGUACCUGAUGAAUAAGCCACGGCUAACUACGUGCCAGCAGCCGCGGUAAUACGUAGGUGGCAAGCGUUAUCCGGAUUUACUGGGUGUAAAGGGCGCGUAGGCGGGGAUACAAGUCAGAUGUGAAAUUCCGGGGCUCAACCCCGGAACUGCAUUUGAAACUGUAGCCCUUGAGUAUCGGAGAGGCAAGCGGAAUUCCUAGUGUAGCGGUGAAAUGCGUAGAUAUUAGGAGGAACACCAGUGGCGAAGGCGGCUUGCUGGACGACAACUGACGCUGAGGCGCGAAAGCGUGGGGAGC
rnacentral:rRNA from 1 species